UACGAAGGGGGCUAGCGUUGCUCGGAAUUACUGGGCGUAAAGCGCACGUAGGCGGCUCUUUAAGUCGGGGGUGAAAUCCUGGAGCUCAACUCCAGAACUGCCUUCGAUACUGGAGAGCUCGAGUCCGGGAGAGGUGAGUGGAACUGCGAGUGUAGAGGUGAAAUUCGUAGAUAUUCGCAAGAACACCAGUGGCGAAGGCGGCUCACUGGCCCGGUACUGACGCUGAGGUGCGAAGGCGUGGGGAGCAAACAGG
rnacentral:rRNA from 1 species